ensembl:lncRNA
AGAGGAGGUGCUAGGAGGAGGUGCUGGAGGAGGUGCUGAGGGGAGGUGCUAGAGGAGGUGCUAGGAGGAGGUGCUAGAGGGGACUGUCUGCCCUUACCUUGCCUGCUCGUGGUGCUUGGCAGGCGGGAGGGCGCAGGGAGGCCUGGGCAGGCGGAGGCGUGCGGGGCAGCAGUACUGGUGGUACGUAGCGUGGCUGUUAGGAGGAAGACUGGAGUACAGAGCGGAGGAGGAGGAGGAGGAGGAGGAGGAGGGAGGGGUGGUGCUAGUAGGGUUGUUGGAGGGACGACAAGAGGUGGAGGAGGAGGAAUAAGACCUGACAGAGAAACAGAGAGAGAGAGAAGGAGGGAGAGAGAGAGAGAGAGAGAGAGGGAGAGGGAGAGGAAGAGAAGAGAGAACAAUAAAGUCAGGACAGAAACAGAGAAAGACAACAGACACAAGCACAUAGAAACACACACUGUUAGCACAGCUAGCACCGGCACACUUUCAGCAACCGCUAAGCACACGCUAUUAAUGGCAGCAUGUAGCCGUUAGCAUACUCUGUAGCUAGUAGUGUUAGCAUAAACAAAGCACAAUAAGUAGCAAAAAAGCACAAUUAGUAUAAGCAUUAAUCUAAGCUGAGCAUAGCAACGAGCAGAAUGUUAUGGUUAAUAGUGGCAUGAAUAUCUUACAGUUAAUAACAUAAGCAUCAUAAAUGACACGCAAGCAUUAGUAGUCUUACAGUUAGUUUGUUUUAACUUAAUUAUAAACUAUUUGUAUGAGCACACAACAAAAUGGCAAACAGUAUUAAUAUGCGAUCAGAGUGUCACCACAGUGGUUAGAGACGACAAUGAUGUUAGCUUCCGGUGAGCAUCACAGUCUCAGCCAUAGUAGCAUUAGCAGUUAGCAUUAGCGUCAAGCGGGACAUGUGUAGCCUCCGGUGGGCGGGGGAGGUGAGAUGACGGACACACAGAUAUAAUCAACUGUCUUAACGAGCAGAAGAGGAGGGAGAUGUUUGCUUUCACUUCCCAGGGAGCCGGCUUUCACCAGAGACAAGGGGCGUCCCCCCAUACUGGAUCCAACAGGGGUUAGCCACUUUGCUACCUGGUGUACCUUGCCUGGUGUCGGCUCUUCGGUCAGGAUUCAAACCCACAACCUCCAAUCCGCAAGUCACCCCACUAACCAUCACAGGACGAAGGGACACUGUUUGGAGGGCUGGGAUUUGUAGGGACUUAAAAUAUCUCUAUUCACACGGUGUGACCUUCAGCUGACCAAUCACAAGGGGCUAUAAAUAUCAGGGACUAUCAUUCACUAUAUUCUGGAGAUCCUUAAGGACAGCUUCAAGUUCAACCUCAAGAAUCUGUAUCGUCCCCGAGGUGGAAUAUAUUCCUGUUGAGAAAAGUAUAGCUGGACAGGCUAACUUAACUCUUCUUAAGCUAGGCUAAUUGAAUGCAGUUUUUGAUGAAUCAACUCACCAACGCUUAAGCUAGGCUCACUGACCAGAGCUUUAGAUAGGCUAACUGAACAGAGCUUUAGCUAGGCUAACUGACCAUAGCUUUAGCUAGGCUAACUGACCAGAGCUUUAACUAGGCUAACUGACCAGAGCUUUAGAUAGGCGGACUAACCAUAGCUUGAGCUAG